rnacentral:rRNA from 1 species
UACGGAGGGUGCAAGCGUUUAUCCGGAUUCACUGGGUUUAAAGGGUGCGUAGGAGGGCAGGUAAGUCAGUGGUGAAAUCUCCAAGCUUAACUUGGAACUGCCUUGAUACUAUCUGUCUUGAAUACCGUGGAGGUGAGCGGAAUAUGUCAUGUAGCGGUGAAAUGCUUAGAUAUGACAUAGAACACCAAUUGCGAAGGCAGCUCGCUACACGAAUAUUGACUCUGAGGCACGAAAGCGUGGGGAUCAAACAGG